AAGAGAGAACCACGAAAGAAAAGAUAAAAAAAAAGAGAAAGGCAAAUUUAUCUCACACUCUCUCAUUUGCCACCUGACAAUGGAGGCCUCGGUGGAGGCUUCAUUGACAGAGGAGGAUGAGGCAGAGCAUCGUCUUUUAGUGCUGAAACUUUGGCUAGAAAAGCUUGCAAAAUGCUAUUGGGAUGAAUAUGUUCUGUUUGUUUUGAACAGUCCUCAUCAACAUCAAAAUACUCUCCUUGAACUUUUUAAGGUGUAUUAUUUUUUUUUUAUUUUCAGAGGUUUACAUUGAUAUUUUGGUUUAUUAUUUUUUAUUGUUCACAUCGAAUUUUUGGAAAUUAUUUUGUAUAAUUCUAU
rnacentral:lncRNA from 1 species